AUGGUCUCAGAGGCGCAUAACAACCGUGCGGAGUACGACAAGUCUUUGCAUGAAGCGCGUCGGGAGAUCGACUUGAAGGUGCAAAAGGAUCGCGCUGAGGUAGAUAAGAAACUGAAAAAAGAACGUUCAUACGUGGACAGGAUGAUAAAGGAGGAGCGUGAGGAGUUUUCCCGUAAGAUGGCGAAGAUGCAUCUUGAGAUUGAAGAAAAGUAUAAGAGGGACUGUGAGUACAUGGAAAAAAAAGUUUGUCUUAGGCUACAAGGAAAUGCAUCAAACGUUGCAGAAGGACCGGAAGCUUGUGGACAGUAUUAUACAGACAGAGCGAGUCAGGAUGGAUGCCUAUGUGUUGUAGGCACGUGCGGAUAUGGACAGUAA
rnacentral:rRNA from 1 species